ACUUAUCUGACCAGCAUGGUAGAUUAUGUUUUGAUUAGAUCACUAAUUGAUUCGAGCUGACUCAUGCUAUUAAGAUAAUUAGUAUGAUUGAUUUAGGUAUCUUUAGAUCAGCUUGUUUAAAGUCUUUUUCAUGAUUUGGUGAAGUCAGUGGGAGCAUUUACUACUUGCAGGUCAAUUUUUCUCUUAUUCUCAAAUCAUUAAAUCAAAUCUUCUAAUUAUUAGGUUCUUAAAAUGAUAUAGUUAUGAGGAUAACUGGUUCAUAGCCUCCUAUUAAUGUGUGUGAUAAAUGAGUC
rnacentral:lncRNA from 1 species